UUCUCUUUUUUUUAAUGAACGCAAAAAAAAACAAUUGAAACAAUAUUGAUUUCUUGCGGAGAUAUUCGAUUUUAAAAUCGCGCGGGUCUUACAGAUCUAGUCUGUCCAACUAAUCACUUUUGAGGUCUGUUCACGAAAGAUUAUUUAAGAUCUCAAACUAGAGAGAAAAAUCAAAUAUCGAAAGAAUCUUAGCGAAAGUAUGCAAUCGGGAUCUUGUUCUCUUCGGCUUGAACUUUCACAAAAAGAGAAGUUACCAAUGAUAAAUACAGUUAAUACCACUAAACUAAGUCGUGCAUCUUAAAUAUACAAAUAAAAGAGUUAAGAAAUAUAUAAAAAGAGAAGAGCUCGAUUUUUGAAGUUGUGACAUUGAGAAAAAAACUAAUUUCAUUUGGAGAUCUCUCAUAAUAAAUGUAAAAGAGAAUUAGAAAGAAAUUAUUUUUUGAGUGGAAAAUCGUAAAUGACAUUUAUUUAUCGAAUCUUCACCGAGAAACAGAUCUGGAAGUGCGUUUUUAAAAUUCACAAAAUUCUGCGCGAAGAUGUAAUUACAGCGUCGACUUUCAUGCUAUUCUGGUUGAUAAUCUCAGAGAUAAGAACGAAGAUUCCGGCAAGUAACUUACUUAGGAAACGGUCUCGUGACGUGUGCGCUUCUUCGACGCGAAGGAGAGAAUUUUCCGUGUGAAUUUUUUGGCAAGCAUAAUUAUGAAGAUCCGAUGGUGUGCGUGUGUGUGUUGACGACAAGAGCCGGUGACGCGCGGCGUCGCGUCGCGAUGCUGCUCAUGGAUGUUGUUUCCUCGUCGCGUAACUUGCGUUAUCGCGCGUCGUGAAGCGCGCGCACGAAUCACUCGUAAAUUCACGUAUUACGUAAAUCCGUGCACGAUCCCGUGUGUGUACGCACAGGCCAAUUAACGGCCAGCGUUUCUUUAUCGCGUUGUCACGGUUCAUGGCAGGAGUCCGCCGCGACACGACGAGUCUCCCGAUGAUAUUCCGAAAAAAAACCUUGUCGAGAGUGGACCGUUCGCUCGCUUCACGAGAAAGAGAGAGAGAGAGAGAUUCGUCGGUUUCUGCGGAUAUUAAUCUGACGACGCGAAAAAGCAGCCGAGCACGUGAUGCGCCGCGGGAAUAUCGAAUUAAUAUUGAAUGAAAUAAUUAGGAGAGAUAUUGCGAGAAUUUCUCGGAAUUUAUAAAUGCGCAGCGAAGAAAAAAUUAUAUCACAAUCAUGUGUUUCGAAUUGUAAGAGAGCAAAGCAAGAGGUGAGAUAGGAUGAAUCUUCAGCCACGCGGGUUCGGCAUGCUCUCGUUAAAUUCACAAGAGAUGGAUUGCUUUAACUACACAACACCGUCUCUUAGCACAUGUUUUAUUGCCAAAGAAACUUCCGCGAUCAAACGAGUGAUGCAGAAAAGAGUCAAUCCUGAUGUAAACUGAUAUUUCACUAAUCGAGGCGUUGAUUGCUCGCCAACGUCAAAACUCACACAUUUACUUUGCACAAAUAAUUCGUUCGUGUUUACAAAUUUUACGUAAAUGACAAUAUUUAAUUUAUUCUACGUAUGUAUAAAGUCGACAUUUCAAUCGAUUGAUCAAACGCACUCGUCUAACUCUGAUUUUAAUGUAUUGUUAAUGCUUAAUUAACUAUUAACUUCGAAACUAACAUCGUUCGAAAUUGAGCUAUCAUGUGAAAGACGCGCAACCAAGUUAAACAUGUCUUAAUUUUCGACACCACGUUGAUACCACCGUUCUACGAUUUACAAUUGAAAUUAGCUUCGGCAAAAAAUAGAAAGAAUAUGUACAAUCGGUUAAAAAGUUUACUCUUAUUUAUGUCAAGAGUUACAUAUGGGCUUAUUCAAUUUUAUUUUUCCUAAUUAAAAAUCAAUUCGAAGUCGCGUUCAUUACUUAAAUGUGACAAUUCUCAAUUUGGAAUUCCGAUCUUCUAUAUUUAUCAAACUUUUUAUUUUUAUUCUCUUCACCUUUAUUUUAAUAACUUAUUCGCGGUUAUAUAUUUGUCUGAUUGUAUCAAAUACGUACAUUUUCUAUUAAGAAUUUCCUAUUAAAUGCAGCAGAGUAUCCCAAGAAUGCCGGAAUUCAAUCGCGUUGAACGUACAUAGCUACCGUUUAAUUUCAAUCACGAUUAAUUUGUUGUUAUAUCAUUCGAUCACUUGUUCUCUCCGAGAGUUGUUCGAUUUAGUGGCGUCGACCGCGCGAUUACCGUAACGCGUCGCAUACCGGAACCAUUAAAGUAGGUCACUGUCAUGUGCUGACGGGCGUCCGGCCGGCGUCGCGGAUCGACGACCGGCGUCCCGUUCGUACGGAAUCACAGGAACGAUCUCGAUAAAUUCACAAACCGGGAACGCGGAGUCGACAAUACGGCGAACUAAAAGGAACUGGCCCCGCGACGAAACGGCGCGCCGUCGAUUUCUGUCGGCUCGGGCUUCGACUCCUUCCUCCUCCUGCUUGCUGCUGCUGUUGCUGCUGCCGAUUCGCGAUCAUCGCCGACGUCAUCGUACGCGAUCAUCGCCACCGCUGCCGUCGCCUUCGCCUUCGCCUCCCUACUGUAUGACGUCAUUCGCGAGCGCCGGAUGCUGUCAUCGUCGUGUCCGCGAUCGCUCGCGAGAUGAGAGGAUCUGUUCGACGCCCGCAAGUCAUCUCGACGAGUUAUGUUCCGGUUUGUGUCGAACACUUUUACGUGUUAGGAUUCUUCGUGUCAACUCAUAUAAGAUUUAGAACUUACAUACAUUCUCUUGUUUCGACAUUUCUGGAAAGUUACAUAUAAAAUAUUAAAGACUCGGUUAAAAAAAAGUCGAGAAUAUUUAAGUGACAUUUCGACAAUAAAAAAAUAGAAAAUAAUAUUUGAUUCAUUUAAAGUUAUCACACAGCACACGUUUUGGGUGUUGCACAUAAAUAGAUACGCAAUAACAAACACCUAAAUUUACUUCUGAUAAAUGUAUGUUAUGCUGUUACGUGCUGUGUGCAAGACCGAGGAAAACUGAGGUUCUGCGAACAUGCAAUCACGAUUCGGCACGAUCACUUGAAAGAGGAUUUCCUGGCGCUGGGUCAUCGUAUCCUCCCGUCGUAGAUAGGAGGAAGAGAAAGAAAUGGAGAACGAUGUAUCGCGACCUCCUCAAGCUUGCUACCGGCCUGUGCUAUCAGGCCGAGCCUUCGUCACGGCGAACGAAGGUAUUCCGGACGUCGCCGUUACGGACCCCUUCUGUUAACCUGGCCCAGAAACCGAGCCGGAACUGUCGGUGGAAUCAAUGACCUUGGCGCGUGAGCUCCGUUCAUAGCCACCGACCUCGAGAAGAAAGUUUCAAGAGCUUUCAGCGACGAUGACCUCGUCGAUUCUAAUUUCCGCAUUGAAUGUUAAUUGUCAUCAUCUUUUACAUAAGUUCUUUUUAUAAAGAGCAGCAAAGUUAGAAAUAAAAUCAGUUCUCAAGAAUAGUAU